GGAGAGGUGGCAGAGUGGUCGAUCGCGCCGCACUCGAAAUGCGGUGAACCGAAAGGUUCCGGGGGUUCGAAUCCCCCCUCUCCGCCA
rnacentral:tRNA from 1 species